rnacentral:rRNA from 1 species
CGUCUAGGCUGGUCAAUAAGUCGGGUAUGAAAGCCCUGGGCUCAACUCAGGAAUUGUGCCCGAUACUGUUGGUCUUGAGUGCAGAAGGGGAGAGUGGAACUCCUGGUGUAGCGGUGAAAUGCGUUGAUACCAGGAUGAACGCCGGUGGCGAAAGCGGCUCUCUAGUCUGCUACUGACGCUGAAGCGCGAAAGCUAGGGGAGCGAACG